CGGAGCUUGCUCCUGGAUUCAGCGGCGGACGGGUGAGUAAUGCCUAGGAAUCUGCCUGGUAGUGGGGGAUAACGUCCGGAAACGGGCGCUAAUACCGCAUACCUCCUGAGGGAGAAAGUGGGGGAUCUUCAGACCUCACGCUAUCAGAUGAGCCUAGGUCGGAUUAUCUAGUUGGUGGGGUAAAGGCCUACCAAGGCGACCAUCCGUAACUGGUCUGAGAGGAUGAUCAGUCACACUGGAACUGAGACACGGUCCAGACUCCUACGGGAGGCAGCAGUGGGGAAUAUUGGACAAUGGGCGAAAGCCUGAUCCAGCCAUGCCGCGUGUGUGAAGAAGGUCUUCGGAUUGUAAAGCACUUUAAGUUGGGAGGAAGGGCAGUAAGUUAAUACCUUGCUGUUUUGACGUUACCAACAGAAUAAGCACCGGCUAACUUCGUGCCAGCAGCCGCGGUAAUACGAAUGGUGCAAGCGUUAAUCUGAAUUACUGGUCGUAAAGCGCGCGUAGGUGGUUCAGCAAGUUGGAUGUGAAAUGCCCGGGCUCAACCUGGAAACUGCAUCCGAAACUACUGAUCUAGAUUACGGUAGAGGGUGGUGGAAUUUCCUGUGUAGCGGUGACAUGCGUAGAUAUAGGAAGGAACACCAGUGGCGAAGGCGACCACCUGGACUGAUACUGACACUGAAGUGCAAAAGCGUGCGGAGCAA
rnacentral:rRNA from 1 species